rnacentral:rRNA from 1 species
ACGGAGGGUGCAAGCGUUAAUCGGAAUUACUGGGCGUAAAGCGCGCGUAGGCGGUUUGUUAAGUGUGAUGUGAAAGCCCAGGGCUCAACCUUGGAACUGCAUCACAUACUGGCAAGCUAGAGUACGGUAGAGGGGGGUAGAAUUCCAUGUGUAGCGGUGAAAUGCGUAGAGAUGUGGAGGAAUACCAGUGGCGAAGGCGGCCCCCUGGAUCGAUACUGACGCUGAGGUGCGAAAGCGUGGGGAGCAAACAGG